UUUAUUAUUUUUAUAGCUUUGUUUACAUUGACAUAUAUUGACGAAUAAAAUUCAAAUGACAUUCGAAGCCCCAGACAAUUAUUAAGAAGGUUGUAAUGAGACUAAUAUGUCUGGCGCUGUACAAAUGCCAUAGCAUUUUGUGCUGUAUGAUAUUUAGCUUUGUUACUGGCUAGUAUAUCCUCUGCACAGCACAGUCUCUUUGAAACAUGUCGAACAACAAACGCCUUGGUCACAAUUCGAGUUGGUGACGAUGUUGUUCUGAAUUUCCUCCUUGAUCGAGCCGCGCACACUGAACGAUUCCCAGGUUUCGGAUGAAUCUCUGAGUAUUGGUCUGAAGCAGCAAUACUCUCCUCAGAUUGACUUGUAACGUUUGUGUCUUCUCUGAGGAUCGUGGGCUCAGUAAUCUAUUCUUAGUAACACAGUUUUGAUUGUUAAUAAAACCUGAGUCCCUAAACGCCUUGAGAAUGUAUAGAUUGACCUUAACGCGUAUAGAAUGUGUAUUCAGUUGGUUCCACUCAUUUCCUUAUCAGGUUAUAUGUGGCGGGUGAUAGAGAUGACAAAGGCAUUAACAAAGAAUAGUUACUGACACUCAUUUCCUUAUCAGGUUAUAUGUGGCAGGUGAUAGAAAUGACAAAGGCAUUAAC